rnacentral:tRNA from 1 species
GCGGGCGUAGUUCAAUGGUAGAACAGGAGCUUCCCAAGCUUCUAAUGUGGGUUCGAUUCCCAUCGCCCGCUCCA